UUAAUAACUAUAUCACGUCCGCGCGCUAAACGAUGAUAUUGACCUUAACUUCGCCGCGCGCCGUCUUAACCCCGUGAAGAAUUUUAAGCAGAUAAACCAAGAUCGAGAAAAACAAAAAGUAAAUUACAUAUUAAAAAUUGGUCAUCUAAAUGGAGAUAUGGUUAUUUUCAUACACUCAUUGUUCUUUGUGACGUUUGUAUAUUAUAAGAAAAAAUCGAUAUAAAUUUGUAAGACGCUGUAUCCGAAGUACUAUUUGCGUGGCAGAUCUCGAUGAGUAUAGUGUUUUUUAACUAAUAUAAUCUUUACAAAAAAAGAUACGCAGUAUUUCAUAAUUUGUCAAUAUCGAAAUAUGGCUUACAAAGUAUUAUCGAUUGUAUUUUUAAUAUUCGUAGUGUUAAUAGGAAGUGCAACACCUACCCCGUUUUUUGAUAAACUGUUUGGCGGAUAUGAUGGUGGUUACGGUUACAAUUAUCAACCAUAUAAUAGGGCAAGGUCAUAUGGCAGAAGCCACGGCUAUGAGCAAGAACAAAAACCUUAUGAUGGAGGCGAAAAAUACCGACAAAUAUGCAGAAUCCAUGCUAUUAGUACUUUGCCAUUUCCCGGAAGAGUUGGCAAUCCUGUUUGUUAAAGACAAUACUCAUCUAUAAAAAUAAUAAUUUAGUGUCAAAUUAUAAAUAAUAUUUAGGUGUAAAAUUAAUUGUUUAUUACUUUUACUGUGAUAACUUAGAAUGUAGCUUUUGAAUAAAAUCUUCUAAAUUUAUUAAAGAG